CAUACCAUAUUCGUCCAGAGGUGCUUGAUCAUAGUAGCCUGUAAUGACAUAUUCAGCCGUUGAUCUUCCAAAAUUGGUUCCUCCAUGAUACUAGGAGAAACAAUGAAAAGGGCUACAUGAAAUGCAAUAUUCUCUGCUGAUCUUAUGUACGGUUCGUCUCCAUAAACUUGAUAGCUGCAACCGAACACUCGUAAGAAACUAAUAUCAAUCCAGGGUCAGGUGCAUCGUCUUGCUUGCACAUGGUCCAUGGCACACCAGUCUGAAGGCUAACCGCCAUGUUUGCUGCCCAUUUAACAUAAGGAGGUCCUUUCUCAUGAAAGGAUGCCUCCACCAUCGAGUAUUCAUUCUCAAUCUGCAACUCCAUUGACGAGUUUUCUUAAAGGAGUGAAAGUAUAAAGGAGUUAAAGAAGGAGGUCCAUUGGUGGUGUUGCCCACUGGCUCAAACCUGUGAAAGUAUAAUUGGCCCUCCCUGUGAAGCAUAUAAGCCUUCCGACUUCAUCAUGUUCACUAUCUUCGUGGUGAAGUUUUGCAUGUGAAGCUGCCAUUAAAGGUGCAUGAUGACCAUGAAAACGUAACAGCAUUACAUUUUGAUACCAAUAUUCCGGUAAAGAAGAAGAAAACAAUACCUUGAAUGGUUCGUUAUCAGAUCGAUAAACAAUUCCCGGAAUAUCAUGUAGCCAAAAUGGUAGACCACUGCAUCAGAAAGUUGAGACAAGGACUAAGAAAUGGUCAUUUUUAAAGGGAUGUAAAGUUAUAAAGGAAUGUUCCAUGUGUUCUUACCCGUAACUCCAUUCCGCUUCAAUGAAGGGUCCAAUUCUUAGGCAAGC